rnacentral:rRNA from 1 species
GACGAACGCUGGCGGCGUGCUUAACACAUGCAAGUCGAACGAGAUCCAAUGUGUAGCAAUACACAGGAAGAUCUAGUGGCGAACGGGUGAGGAACACGUGAGAAACGUACCCCAGACUUUGGGAUAACAGUCCGAAAGGACUGCUAAUACCAAAUAACGUCGGAAGUCCGCAUGGACAUCUGACGAAAGGGAUUCCGGUUCGGGAGCGUCUCGCGGACCUAUCAGCUAGUUGGAGGGGUAACGGCCCACCAAGGCAACGACGGGUAGAUGGUCUGAGAGGAUGGGCAGCCACACUGGGACGGAGCCACGGCCCAGACUCCUACGGGAGGCAGCAGUGGGGAAUCUUGCGCAAUGGGCGAAAGCCUGACGCAGCAACGCCGCGUGCGGGAAGAAGGCUUUCGGGCUGUAAACCGCUUUCAGUAGGAACGAAACUGACGGUACCUACAGAAGAAGGAGCGGCCAACUAUGUG